GAUAGCUUGGUUGGUAAAGCAUGAGACUCUUAAUCUCAGGGUUGUGGGUUCAAGAUUUCUGCACUGCA